rnacentral:rRNA from 1 species
UACGGAGGGUGCAAGCGUUAUCCGGAUUCACUGGGUUUAAAGGGUGCGUAGGUGGGCAAGUAAGUCAGUGGUGAAAUCUCCGGGCUCAACCCGGAAACUGCCAUUGAUACUAUUUGUCUUGAAUACUGUGGAGGUCAGCGGAAUAUGUCAUGUAGCGGUGAAAUGCUUAGAUAUGACAUAGAACACCAAUUGCGAAGGCAGCUGGCUACACAAAUAUUGACACUGAGGCACGAAAGCGUGGGGAUCAAACAGG